UGCUGGACUGAUGAUCCAGACAUGGGUUGUGAAUGGAAAAUACAUUGCAAUAGUGACUGGUGUAUCCUGAUGUAGGGUAGUGACAAAAAGUAAAAGUUGGAAAACCCUGACUAGCUAGCUACCAUAUGUUAAUAUGACUGCAGUAUUCUCCUGUUUCAGAAAUACUGAAUAGAAUUAUAUCGUCCAAAACAGUCUGCUAUAGUGCUUUAUGAUAAUCAGAGGAAAAAAAAUAGUACUCACUUGUGUGGUAUUGUGUGGGUGCAGCAUGGUCCCAGCUGUCAGAAGAAUGCAUUUCCCUGGAGGGGAGAGAUUCAGCAUUUAUUCAAUCCAAUAACUCUCUGCCGAUCAUGAUGCUGUCAAUCAAUACCACUGUAAUAUGGUGUAAACGUGUCAGAUUUAGACAAAAGGAUCACGUUCAUUUCCAUCUGCUGUUCCUGGAAUGUACACAGUACGAUAACACACUAACACAAUAUUUGUAUUUCACUGUGACUGUUAAUGCUUUAUGCACCAAGUUAAUAUUAUGUUAGCUAAUGUGAAUAGUGUGAAUUCACAAAACAAAAUUUGAAUGUAUCAACACUAUUGCAUUAUUUCUGACUGCAAUCAACAUAAAUUGCUAAAUGCCUUUAUUGAGACAUCUCCCAAGUUUCAUCUCACUCCUCCGUGAAAGUGAACCAAUGAAACUGGACAUCCUAGGGACUGGAAUCAAGUGGCCCUUCUUUUUCCACUUGCUGGGCGUGGAGGUCGGUGGGUCACUUUGAUCAUCCCUGACCCAUUAUGUUAGUGACUAGUAGCAUUUGCUAUUCAGGAUUAAGGGAGGAGGCAGUGAUAUGGCCUAACCUUUUUCUAAAGAACACAUGUGCCAGCUGUGGUAUUGAACUUGUUUAUGUAUAAAUGUGCAUCAACAUUGUUAAAGUGUAUCACCAAUGGUCUUUGACAGACUAUAUUACAGUAACGUUAGGCUGCAGGCUCCCCUGAGUGGCUUAUAGCCCUGAAAAGGAACCCCUCGGGCUAGUGGCUUAUGUUGUAUAAGAAAGUUAGGUUGAUAAGGGAUUAAAAUGCUUGCGUGUUAUUCUGCCAUCGCUGUUGUUGCUAGCAUUGUAAAUUAGUGAGCAACCAGCAGUAAACCUAGCUAAAGUUAGCUUACUUUGCUAGCGUUAGCUUAGGUUGUUAGCAAGCUACCAACUUUACCCAAGCCUAGCUAGCAUUAGCUUGUAAUGCCUCAGCAUGAGGAUGUAGAUAAACACAAAAUGCCAACAACGGCCCUGCUGUAAUAAACUAAUAUCUGAACUCUAGGUUGAACAUAUGGACUUUAUCUCAGGAAGACAGUAAUUUAGCCAUUAAGAUGAACACUGCUGGCGUGGUCGAAGUGAAACGCCUGUUACUCAAUCACUGAACAACAACAUCCUAACUGAAGACCCGCCUUGAUAAGAGGACUGACAGAUUUCAUUUCCAUUUGAAUUUUGACACCAAAAAAGCAUAGUAAGCAAAUGUAAAUGCAAUAAACUGGGGCUUUGUUGAAUUGCCAACUGCAAAAUGAAUUGUCAUUUGAAUAAAGCAUGCAAUUCACUGAGCUUUCAUUUAAAUGUUUAAUCAAAAUAAUUGCACUUUUCCUAUAGAGCAGGUCUAGACCUUACUCUUCUCAAAUGUCUCAACAAUCUCUAUUUAUGAGUGAGCUUGAAUUAAACCUUGAUUUAUGCAUUACCUAUGAACAUCUGAUGCUGCUAAUACUUAACAGUAGUUAUCCACUUGUGUAAUGCAGGCACAACAGUAUAGAUGGUUUAUCUUUUUUUAAAUUAUAUUCUUAUAUUUAUAUAUAUUUAUUCUUUGACAUUUCCGGCUGCAACUCACAGCCAGACGAGCUGUUAGAGCAGAAUUUUGCCAUUUAUUGUAUUUUUAUUUCUUAUUUUUGGUUCUGUUUGUAAAGAUGGACGACAUGACAGCUCCCCAAAUGUGAAGCCAAAACAUCUCGAUCGCCUCCUGGUGGCUGACUGCAUAAACCUCGCCCCUCCAUGUUAGCGGAUGGGACAUGGGCCAAACUUAAAACUCAAACUUCAGGUCAAAUAAAUUUUUCCACAGAUGGUUUCUGUCGUUUUAGGUAGUUAUUAUCACGCUGAUAUAUGUUCAAGUGUUCAUUUUUCUGAUAAGUAGUUCUAAUUAGUUAUUUGAUGCUGUAAAAAGGGGGUUACACGUCAUGAUUGAUAGCUGAGGCCGGCUCGCGAUUGAGUCGGCCGGAUGUAUGGGCGGGACCUCGAUACCGCGGCUCCAACCCCCAUCACUACUGCGCAGACUCUGGCUCCAAUAUUGCAUUCAUGGCUUCAUUUUUGUACAGUGGGAGGAAGUGGAGACGCGUCGUCCAUCUUUAUAUACAGUCUAUGAUUUGAACCCUCUAACUGUCGGUUUACACACACACACACACACUGACACACGACAUUAACAUACAUCAAUCCAACCCUGGCUUUGGUUGCCUCCUCCUUCCUGUCUCUGCAGACCAUCACUGAUCAUCACUGACACCAUGCUGACUCUGAAGUUUAUGUUCACACACAUGAAUUAUAAUUUUUACUGCUUAAUGUCUCACCCCAUUAACAGGAAUUGCAUAAUAUUAAGGAAUUAAAAAGUAAAGAGGACCUUUCAUUAUGUCCUUAAAACAUUGUUAGGCCUUUUACAAAACACAUGUUUUGACAUCACUGGUGUUUCCAGAGGUAUAACCACAGGUAGCUGCAGUAACAUGCAUUACAAUUAAUUUUUAGUAUUCAGGUGGCACAUCCAAGACUUUGAUAAGAAAUAAGGAAAUAAAUGAUCCACCCUGAAAAACAGUUAGGAUUAAAAUGAGCUGUGAGGUGCUGGUUUCUGUAAUGAAACUGAAAACGUUUUCUGUCUCUCUCUCUCUCUGUCUCUCCACUCCUUCUGGCCUCCUCCUUCCUGUCUCUAAUUGCAGACCAUCACUGUUGGUGACUCCAUGGCAACUCAACAGUGUCUUGCUGUCCAGCUACUCCUCUCCUCUAUCAAAUUGUCUUUCUGUCUGUCCUAUUCCUUGUAUCCACUCCAAGGGUGCAAGGCAAAAUUCUAACGCUUAACCUGUUAGGGUAAAUACUGUAUAUUUAUUUUGAGAUUUUCAUGUCAAUUAUUUGUGCUGUUAUGGUUAUUGAAAAUUACACUCACUUAUUCACCCACUUCUACACUGCUGCCACUUUUCUUCAAAAAGAGCUAAAUCUUGUCUGCUUUACCCAAACAUUUUAAGGGGCAUAAAUUGAAAUACUAUAUUCACAAUGCUAAUUAAUUUAGAGAACAUAGAUAAUAAAUCCACAGAUGAAAGGAACCUGCCAACAUGGUGAUAGCUGUAUUUUCAAACACAAAGCAUAGGAAGCAGCAUGAGUACAGAUGCUCCAUUGCCAAUAAAAGUUCAGACUGAGCAGUAGUAAUCUAUUUCCUAAUUGCAUUUCAAAAAGGGAUUGAUGCUCUACUAACCACUUCUGCAACAAUACAGUUAAGCUGUAGUCUAAAUCUCCUCCAGCAUCGAUGCGCAACAGAGUCCUGUGUGCAUGCGUACCUGCUGCGAAUCGAUUUCAUCCUGCGACUUUUGGAAGAAAUCAAUACCAUAGGGAAAGGGGGUAUAUGACUUUUUGAGGUAUGAUCUGACAAAAUUAGAAGAAGACGUUUGACACAAAAUAAAAUUAUCAUAACUACAUAUUAUAAAACAUAAUGGUAAUAAAAUUGUAAAAAAUCCAGAUAUCAAAAGAAUGGUGGGGCACUCUUUGCUGAACAAACCUUGUUGAAAACCUUGAUAUGCUGAAACACUGAGUUCUGAACCUGACUUGCUCCGAGUCCCAAAGGUUACAGCAACUUGUCUGUUUGAACAAAACUCUACUCUCAAUCUCUACCUGUCCUCGCAGAUAUUUAAUCUCCAAUUUGGAAUAAAUACAUUUUUAGAAUAAUAAGUGUUUGAAAUAUACUAUUUUGGAAAUCUUUUCCACAAAAUUAGUUUGAGCAUAAAAUUGAAAAAGGCACUAACUGAAAAAUUAUUACACUUUUAUCACAAACAUUGGAAUGUAAAAAGAAACUAAUUCAAAAUCGAAUCUGGUAAAUUUCCAAAUAUAUAAUUUGUAACAAAGUGCAUAAUUAAAGAUAACACUAUUCUUGUCAUACAUAAGAAAUAAUUGGAGUGAAAAUCCAUAUUUAUACUACAAAAGAACUGUAGUUGUUCCUGAACUUUGAUGGUGUGGAGCUCUGUAGGUUUGUACCCAAAGAUUUGUUUUGAUUACAAAUAUAUUCAUUCACAUAUUCAGUUUUUGUUAACUCGACUAGUGUGUAAGUCGAAAAGUAAUACCACUACAUACAUUGUAUUGAUUCUCCCUGAUUCACAUAUUCACAAAUUGUACCAAAUCUAUAGAGCCACUCACAUUGUUUGAAUCAAUAAGUGUAUAUAAGUGCUUUGUCGUUGUUUAAACCUUUAUAUACUGUAAUAAAUCAACCAUCAGCUGUAAGGAGAAACUAUUGUUUGAUUCUGAUUUUUAGAUAUGAACCUGAAUAUA